rnacentral:tRNA from 1 species
CCUUCGAUAGCUCAGUUGGUAGAGCGGUGGACUGUAGUGUGAGUAGAGGUAAAGAGACAUCCAUAGGUCGCUGGUUCGAAUCCGGCUCGAAGGA